UACAGGAGGCCCGAGCGUUAAUCGGAAUCACUGGGCUUAAAGGGUGCGUAGGCGGGUCCGUAAGAGCGUCGUGAAAUCCCCCGGCUCAACCGGGGAACUGCGGCGCAGACUGCGGAUCUUGAGGAAGCUAGGGGUUGCUGGAACGCUCGGUGGAGCGGUGAAAUGCGUUGAGAUCGAGCGGAACGCCGAAGGUGAAGACAGGCAACUGGGGCUUUCCUGACGCUGAGGCACGAAAGCGUGGGGAUCAAACAGG
rnacentral:rRNA from 1 species